rnacentral:misc_RNA from 1 species
UACGUAGGGGGCAAGCGUUGUCCGGAAUUACUGGGCGUAAAGCGCGCGUAGGCGGCGUGAUAAGCCGGUUGUGAAAGCCCCGGGCUCAACCUGGGAACGGCAUCCGAAACUGGCAGGCGAGAGUCUUGUAGAGGGGGGUAGAAUUCCAGGUGUAGCUGGGAAAUGCGUAGAGAUCUGGAGGAAUACCGGUGGCGAAGGCUGCCCCCUGGACAAAGAAUGACGCUCAGGUGCGAAAGCGUGGGGAGCAAACAGU